rnacentral:rRNA from 1 species
CCUACGGGAGGCUGCAGUGGGGAAUAUUGCACAAUGGGCGAAAGCCUGAUGGUGCGACGCCGCGUGGGGGAAGAAGGUCUUCGGAUUGUAAACCCCUGUCAUGUAGGAGCAAGACGCAAGUUUGAUAGUACUACAAGAGGAAGAGACGGCAAACUCUGUGCCAGCAGCCGCGGUAAUACAGAGGUCUCAAGCGUUGUUCGGAAUCACUGGGCGUAAAGGGUACGUAGGCUGCCGGAUAAGUCGUGCGUGAAAGGCAGGGGCUCAACCUCUGGAGUGCGCAUGAUACUGUUUGGCUGGAGUAAUGGAGGGGGAACCGGAAUUCUUGGUGUAGCAGUGAAAUGCGUAGAUAUCAAGAAGAAGACUCGUGGCGAAGGCGGGUUCCUGGACAUUUACUGACGCUGAGGUACGAAGGCUAGGGUAGCGAAAGGGAUUAGAUACCC